rnacentral:rRNA from 1 species
GACGAACGCUGGCGGCGUGCUUAACACAUGCAAGUCGAACGGUAAGGCCCUCCGGGGUACACGAGUGGCGAACGGGUGAGUAACACGUGGGUGAUCUGCCCUGCACUUCGGGAUAAGCCUGGGAAACUGGGUCUAAUACCGGAUAGGACCACUGCCUGCAUGGGUGGUGGUGGAAAGCUUUUGCGGUGUGGGAUGGGCCCGCGGCCUAUAAGCUUGUUGGUGGGGUGAUGGCCUACCAAGGCGACGACGGGUAGCCGGCCUGAGAGGGUGACCGGGAACAAUGGGACUUGGGUACGGCCCAGACGCCUAGGGGAGGCAGUAGUGGGGAAUAUUGCACAAGGGGCGCAAGGCUGAUGCAGCGAAGCCGCGUGAGGGAUGACGGCCUUCGGGUUGUAAACCUCUUUCAGCACCGACGAAGCGCAAGUGACGGUAGGUGCAGAAGAAGGACCGGCCAACUACGUGCCAGCAGCCGCCGUAA